ACAAUAAACAGAGCGUCGGUCUACCGAUCAAGUUCAUCCGCUCAGUGGAAGGUCUUCCCUUUGUCGU
rnacentral:pre_miRNA from 1 species